rnacentral:rRNA from 1 species
GAUUGAACGCUGGCGGCAGGCCUAACACAUGCAAGUCGAGCGGAUGAAGGGAGCUUGCUCCUGGAUUCAGCGGCGGACGGGUGAGUAAUGCCUAGGAAUCUGCCUGGUAGUGGGGGAUAACGUCCGGAAACGGGCGCUAAUACCGCAUACGUCCUGAGGGAGAAAGUGGGGGAUCUUCGGACCUCACGCUAUCAGAUGAGCCUAGGUCGGAUUAGCUAGUUGGUGGGGUAAAGGCCUACCAAGGCGACGAUCCGUAACUGGUCUGAGAGGAUGAUCAGUCACACUGGAGCUGAGACACGGUCCAGACUCCUACGGGAGGCAGCAGUGGGGAAUAUUGGACAAUGGGCGAAAGCCUGAUCCAGCCAUGCCGCGUGUGUGAAGAAGGUCUUCGGAUUGUAAAGCACUUUAAGUUGGGAGGAAGGGCAGUAAGUUAAUACCUUGCUGUUUUGACGUUACCAACAGAAUAAGCACCGGCUAACUACGUG